rnacentral:rRNA from 1 species
AUUGAACGCUGGCGGCAUGCCUAACACAUGCAAGUCGAACGGAAACGGCAUUAACAAUCCCUUCGGGGUGCGUUUAUGGACGUCGAGUGGCGGACGGGUGAGUAACGCAUAGGAAUCUGCCCAUGUAGUGGGGGACAACCUGGGGAAACUCAGGCUAAUACCGCAUACGCCCUACGGGGAAAGUGGGGGAUCUUCGGACCUCACGCUAUUGGAUGAGCCUAUGUCUGAUUAGCUUGUUGGUGGGGUAACGGCCUACCAAGGCUACGAUCAGUAGCUGGUCUGAGAGGACGAUCAGCCACACUGGGACUGAGACACGGCCCAGACUCCUACGGGAGGCAGCAGUGGGGAAUAUUGCACAAUGGGCGAAAGCCUGAUGCAGCAAUGCCGCGUGUGUGAAGAAGGCCUGCGGGUUGUAAAGCACUUUCAGUAGGGAGGAUUAUGACGUUACCUACAGAAGAAGCACCGGCUAACUCUGUG